GACGAACGCUGGCGGCGUGCUUAACACAUGCAAGUCGAACGGAAAGGCCCUGCUUGCAGUGUACUCGAGUGGCGAACGGGUGAGUAACACGUGGGUGAUCUGCCCUGCACUUCGGGAUAAGCUUGGGAAACUGGGUCUAAUACCGGAUAGGAGCCAUCUUUAGUGUGGUGGUUGGAAAGUUUUUUCGGUGUAGGAUGAGCUCGCGGCCUAUCAGCUUGUUGGUGGGGUAAUGGCCUACCAAGGCGGCGACGGGUAGCCGGCCUGAGAGGGUGUACGGCCACAUUGGGACUGAGAUACGGCCCAGACUCCUACGGGAGGGAGGAGUGGGGGAUAUUGCACAAUGGGGGCAAGCCUGAUGCAGGGAAGCCGCGUGGGGGAUGAAGGCCUUCGGGUUGUAAACCCCUUUCGCUAGGGACGAAGCUUUUUUGUGACGGUACCUAGAUAAGAAGCACCGGCUAACUACGUG
rnacentral:rRNA from 1 species